UACAGAGGUCUCAAGCGUUGUUCGGAUUCAUUGGGCGUAAAGGGUGCGUAGGUGGCGGGGUAAGUCAGGUGUGGAAAUCUCGGGGCUCAACCCCGAAACUGCACUUGGAUACUGCCUUGCUCGAGUACUGGAGAGGAGAUUGGAAUUUACGGUGUAGCAGUGAAAUGCGUAGAUAUCGUAAGGAAGACCAGUGGCGAAGGCGAAUCUCUGGACAGUUACUGACACUGAGGCACGAAGGCCAGGGGAGCAAACGGG
rnacentral:rRNA from 1 species